rnacentral:rRNA from 1 species
GAUGAACGCUAGCGACAGGCUUAACACAUGCAAGUCGAGGGGCAGCAUAAAAGUAGCAAUACUUUGGUGGCGACCGGCGCACGGGUGAGUAACGCGUAUGCAACCUACCUAUCAGAGGGGAAUAACCCGGCGAAAGUCGGACUAAUACCGCAUAAAACAGGGGCACCGCAUGGUGAUAUUUGUUAAAGAAAUUCGCUGAUAGAUGGGCAUGCGUUCCAUUAGGUAGUUGGUGAGGUAACGGCUCACCAAGCCGACGAUGGAUAGGGGAACUGCGAGGGUGUCGCACAACACUGGUACUGGGACACGGACCAGACUCCUGCGGGGGGCAGGAGUAAGGAAUAUUGGUCAAUGGGCGGGAGCCAGAACCAGCCAAGUCGCGUGAAGGAAGAAGGAUCUAUGGUUCGUAAACUUCUUUUGCAGGGGAAUAAAGUGCAGGACGUGUCCUGUUUUGUAUGUACCCUGGGAAUAAGGAUCGGCUAACUCCGUGCCAGCAGCCGCCGUAACAC